ACACUGGCAGGUCCAGGUGUGUAUAUGUAUGUUACACUGGCAGGUCCAGGUUUGUAUAUGUGUGUUACACUGGCAGGUCCAGGUUUGUAUAUGUGUGUUACACUGGCAGGUCCAGGUUUGUAUAUGUGUGUUACACUGGCAGGUCCAGGGGCGUGUGUCUUACACUGGCAAGUCCAGGGGUGUAUUUCUCACACUGGCAGG